AAGCAACGCGAAGAACCUUACCAGGUCUUGACAUCCUCUGACAACCCUAGAGAUAGGGCGUUCCCCUUCGGGGGACAGAGUGACAGGUGGUGCAUGGUUGUCGUCAGCUCGUGUCGUGAGAUGUUGGGUUAAGUCCCGCAACGAGCGCAACCCUUGACCUUAGUUGCCAGCAUUUAGUUGGGCACUCUAAGGUGACUGCCGGUGACAAACCGGAGGAAGGUGGGGAUGACGUCAAAUCAUCAUGCCCCUUAUGACCUGGGCUACACACGUGCUACAAUGGAUGGUACAAAGGGCUGCAAGACCGCGAGGUUAAGCGAAUCCCAUAAAGCCAUUCUCAGUUCGGAUUGUAGGCUGCAACUCGCCUGCAUGAAGCCGGAAUCGCUAGUAAUCGCGGAUCAGCAUGCCGCGGUGAAUACGUUCCCGGGCCUUGUACACACCGCCCGUCACACCACGAGAGUUUGUAACACCCGAAGUCGGUGAGGUAACCUUUUGGAGCCAGCCGCCUAAGGUGGGACAGAUG
rnacentral:rRNA from 1 species